rnacentral:sRNA from 1 species
AAACAAUGAAUGAAACAAAUUAGUGACCUA